rnacentral:rRNA from 1 species
GCAACCUUAAGCCUUUGUAUGGUCCGUGAGAGGUGAAUUCUUGGAGCGUGGCCAGACAAACUACAGCGAAAGCAUUUGAAAGAAUGUUUUUAUUAAUCAAGAACGAAAGUCAGAGGUUCGAAGGCGAUCAGAUACCGCCCUAGUUCUGACCGUAAACGAUGCCAACUAGCGAUCCGCCGAUGGAAAUUAUAUUGCCUUGCUGGGGAGCUUCCCGGAAACGAAAGUCUUCCGGUUCCGGGGGAAGUAUGGUUGCAAAGCUGAAACUUAAAGGAAUUGACGGAAGGGCACCACCAGGAGUGGAGCCUGCGGCUUAAUUUGACUCAACACGGGGAAACUCACCCGGCCCGGACACUGUGAGGAUUGACAGAUUGAUAGCUUUUUCAUGAUUCAGUGGAUGGUGGUGCAUGGCCGUUCUUAGUUCGUGGAGUGAUUUGUCUGGUUUAUUCCGAUAACGAGCGAGACUCUAACCUACUAAAUAGUUGGUACAUACUCUUAGUGUAUACAGCUUCUUAGAGGGAUUUGCGGCGUUCAGCCGAAAGAAAUUGAGCAAUAACAGGUCUGUGAUGCCCUUAGAUGUCCGGGGCUGCACGCGCGCUACACUGGCAAAAUCAACGUGCUUGUCCUACCCUGAAAGGGGCGGGUAAACCAUUGAAAAUUUGCCGUGAUUGGGAUCGGAAAUUGCAAUUAUUUUCCGUGAACGAGGAAUUCCAAGUAAGUGCGAGUCAUCAGCUCGCGUUGAUUACGUCCCUGCCCUUUGUACACACCGCCCGUCGCUGCCCGGGACUGAGCCAUUUCGAGAAAUUUGGGGACCGUUGAUUUAAUUUUUCUAAAUUACUUUUGAUGGAAAACCAAUUUAAUUCGCAGUGGCUUGAACC